rnacentral:rRNA from 1 species
AUCGAACGCUGGCGGCAGGCCUAACACAUGCAAGUCGAACGGUAGCACAGAGAGCUUGCUCGCGGGUGACGAGUGGCGGACGGGUGAGUAACGUCUGGGAAACUGCCCGAUGGAGGGGGAUAACUACUGGAAACGGUAGCUAAUACCGCAUAACGUCACAAGACAAAAGUGGGGGACCUUCGCGCCUCACACCAACGGAUGUGCCCAGAUGGGCUCAGCUAGUAGGUGGGGUAAGGGCUCACCUAGGCGACGAUCCCUAGCUGGUCUGAGAGGAUGACCAGCCACACUGGAACUGAGACACGGUCCAGACUCCUACGGGAGGCAGCAGUGGGGAAUAUUGCACAAUGGGCGCAAGCCUGAUGCAGCCAUGCCGCGUGUAUGAAGAAGGCCUUCGGGUUGUAAAGUACUUUCAGCGGGGAGGAAGGCGGUGAAGUUAAUAACUUCACCGAUUGACGUUACCCGCAGAAGAAGCACCGGCUAACUCCGUGCCAGCCGCCGCCGUAA